UAAUAUUUUGUAUGUGGAUGUUGGGCUAUUUUGGCAUUUAUUUCUUAUUAAUAGAGACUAUGCAAGUGUGGAGUUCCUUCUAUUUAAAUUGAAGUAUGUGACAAUUAGUGUUUAAUUUCAUUGGAGAUAUUUUGAGAUUUAUUAGAGGUUCGUGUUUAUUAUGUUUUGUGCGUGACAUUCCUUUUCUUUUUCGGAAAGGGGGUGUUACAAAGGCACUUGUGAACAUGAGCAUUCACUGCCUUCACUGACACUGGAAAACUCAGACCCCCGUUUCCGUCUCCGUCUUCAUCGGCCUACCACUUGAAUUUCUAGAUGAUCGAAGGGAGAAAAACCUGGUGAUACUCAAGAGAAUAUGAAGAAUGAGUGUUAUGAUCUGAUGUGGCUGUUCAGUCCGGGGUGUUAGAUCUUGAAAGUUAUUUGCUGGUGGUUGUAUUUUGGAUAAUGGCUCUUUUUGGACCAUGGAUGUCCUCUGUUGUCCGAGUGUUUUCCAGAUCUGUGAUUCAUGUUUUCUUGUUGUAUUUUUAUUUAUGCUCAGAUCUGAGUUUUGUCUGUUAGUAUUGAUUUUUCGGUCGAACUUUAUGGGUUUUACUGAUUAUCUAUUUUAUUGUUUUGAAUUGGAUGUAAGUGAUGGUUUCUGUUCACCGGUCAUUUGUGUAUUUAGAUUUGGGCUGUAUGGUUCAUUAACUUUAUUUUCAUAUCUGUUUUGUGCCCAUUCGGUUCAUCAUGUUAUUUGCUUUUUGGAUUUUAUUGAGUGUGUUUUACGGUGUAAUAACCGGCAGUAUUAGUCGAAAAUCAUGGCUUGUUUUGAUUUUUGCUUGAUUUGGUGCUUAGCCGAAUUCUGCAGAUUUUUGGAUAUGGACUACUCUAGUUGGAUCUGGCAACCAUAGUGGCUCUCCAGUGAUGGUUCUGAGGAGAUCACUGUCAUAUUCCUUUUUUUAAAAAAAAAUUAAAAAAAAUUGAUUGUUGGGUAAUCUACCAAGUCAUAUUUCUUUUUUUUUCUUUUUUUGCAAGUCCACAUAAGAUAAUGACCGAAAGAAUUUAG
rnacentral:lncRNA from 1 species